rnacentral:rRNA from 1 species
AACCUGCGGAGGGAUCAUUACAGAGUUGCAAAACUCCCACAAACCAUCGCGAAUCUUACCCGUACGGUUGCCUCGGCGCUGGCGGUCCGGAAAGGCCUUCGGGCCCUCCCGGAUCCUCGGGUCUCCCGCUCGCGGGAGGCUGCCCGCCGGAGUGCCGAAACUAAACUCUUGAUAUUUUAUGUCUCUCUGAGUAAACUUUUAAAUAAGUCAAAACUUUCAACAACGGAUCUCUUGGUUCUGGCAUCGAUGAAGAACGCAGCGAAAUGCGAUAAGUAAUGUGAAUUGCAGAAUUCAGUGAAUCAUCGAAUCUUUGAACGCACAUUGCGCUCGCCAGUAUUCUGGCGAGCAUGCCUGUUCGAGCGUCAUUUCAACCAUCAAGCUCUGCUUGCGUUGGGGAUCCGCGGCUGUCCGCGGUCCCUCAAAAUCAGUGGCGGGCUCGCUAGUCACACCGAGCGUAGUAACUCUACAUCGCUAUGGUCGUGCGGCGGGUUCUUGCCGUAAAACCCCCCAUUUCUAAGGUUGACCUCGGAUCAGGUAGGAAUACCCGCUGAACUUAAGCAUAUCAAUA